CAGGUCUUUAAAACAUUAAAAAUAUAUAUCCUAACUACUCCAUAUUCCUUUGCCAUGUUAAAGAACGGAGUUAUAAUGCACUAUAAUGUCAGCACUUUAGAGAAAGCAGACACAUAGUAUUACUAAUUUUGCCAGAAUUUUACCAUUCUCUUUAAAAGAGACUACUCCAAAAUCUACCAGCCAACGGCCAAAGUGAAGUAUCAGAAGACAGAAGGGCCUAGGAAAGGAACAAACUGUUUGUAAAAACUAAAUCCACUAAUAUACAUCUGAACAAUGCGUUGCUAAAGACAAUAAAGGAACUCUGCGAACAUUGAAGGGAAGAAGCGUGUGAUAAAGAGGCAAUGGGAGAAAAAGGUAUAUUUUCCUAAUCUGCAGACCAGAAAGCUGCAAAUUCUUCCAGUGAACACCAGGCACCCCUCUGAGCCUCAGCCACAAGAAUCUGUAAAAUAAAUGCUAUAUACUGAGCUCCUUGUGCAGUUUCUAUUUCAACCUUCAUAUGAAAAUAACAUAGAAGGAUAGGUCUGCGGAUGUUCAUUUUAGUAACAUGAGUGAAAAUUGGAGUGGGAACAGUA
rnacentral:lncRNA from 1 species